rnacentral:lncRNA from 1 species
CAUUCAAUUUUGGACUCCCAAAAUCUCCACCACCUCAUGUGUAAAUUCCCCCUGGCUAGAUACACACAUCCUGUUGGUUCUGCAUCUCUGAGAACCCCAACUCAUACAGAUGCCUUUACUCCAUGACAACCAUGUAUGCUCAUUGCUUCAGUUCUCCCCCAUUCAUUCUUUUUUAUUGGCGAAGAGCUUGCGGCAGAUUAUUAUUAUUAUUAAGGGAAACCCCUGCGGAGGAAACUGGUGAUAGAGUCUUAGUUGGCUGACCCUUGUCAGUGCCUGUCAAAACCAGACUGCUUCUGUGUCUCAUUGGAAUUCCACAGCAGGCAAAUCUCUGCACCUGACGAGGAGGUUCGCCUCUUGGGCCCACAAGCCACAGAAAUCAUGAUGCCACUUUUUUUCCCAAUAUGGGACCGUAUGAUGUCACUACCAAAGCUGAAGUGAGCCUGGGGGGUAUUUUGCCCUGUGAUUACACCUCCCCCUUGCUGUGAAGCACCUCUAUGACCCAGGUAGGCUGGCGGGCUGAUUACACAGCUCCACAUCUGUCUGUGCUGGUAGACAGCAGGCCUCAGUAAGUGACAAUGCAUGGCACCCUCUUUCAGAGAGCUUGGUUGUGAUGCUGACACUUUCUGACACAACUAAGUGAUAGUAAUCAUUUCAUGCUGGCAUUUAAGUACCUCCUGACCAAAGUACAUGCUGUAUUGCUCAUGAGAAGGAAGAGAAGCCUCACUGAUGUAAACCAGGCUUCCAGCUACCACAGGACCCCAAAAGGCCACAGUAAUUAAGAGGGGGAGAGACCCCUUCAAAGGGCAGCUAAGCCAAACCAAUCUCUUCCAGUGGGCACUUUCCCACUCAGAGUGGUCAGCAUGGUUAAUAACUGAAGGGCCAUGAUUCAGCAACUCCUUGAUGGCAGCCAUGGUAAUAAAGCAUAAAUAAGAGUAGUUUAUUCUCAUCCAGGCAGAUGCUCUUACAUGGAACUGGGCUGGGCAGGCAUCCGGGAGUGAAGUGGACUGUAGAAUACCCUAUGUGCCCCUUUCACGUCAAAGCCAGCUUCCUUCUGUCAGGGGCUAUGUGGGGGCUCAUUGUUAAAUGGCUCUUUAUGCCGACCCAUGAGAUGGACCACCUUGCUCAAGUGACAUCCUGUUUUCGCCCCUGGCGCCUACUUUCCCAAGACUACGAGACCCUUCUCCCAUCACCAUGGGACACCACACACCUCCAGCUUUCUCAGCAUUACAAGACCACCCUACCAUGAGGCACCUUCAACUUUCUCAUCACUACAUGACCACCAGAGUCCAGUUACAAGCAAAAGAUAAACUAAACUUCCCCUGCCUCAGGGAAUCCAAUUUCCCAUCCAUGGGGUAUACGAAGGCCCCGCAAGAAGGGCGGGGGGGAUGGCUCUUCUUAAGGGUCAGUCACCCUCUCCCUCUCCACUCUAAUAAACUUUCUUCUCUUUGCCUGAACACCUGGCUCGUUCUCUUUUUCUCCACGCUCGCCUUACACCUUCCGGGUUGCUUCAGGUAGAGUCUUUGGUGUCCCAGUGUCACCAAAGGAGGUGUGGGAACAGUGGGGGAAGGGGUGAGAAGGGAUAAAUGGACAUCAUGGGGGGAGAAAUCAUGAAUUGUUAAAUCUUUAGGGGGUACACUCUUAAGGAGGGAGAAGAGAGGUAGCCACAUUGGUUCUGCUCAGAUGGAAAAGUGAGAAUUUGCAGGGGCACCGAAAGGGCAAAACACACCAGCUGCUGUCCCCUUUCAGGCGUGGAGGAAGGGAGGCUCAGCACCCCAUGGGGCAGUGUAAGCGCUGGGCCACACAGUGCUGGGCUGCGAGAAACCUGAUAAUGUCUCUGGUCUGAGCCUGUGGUCUCUGGUGACAGGGCUAUUGACGAGACGCCACCACCUUCCUCAGGUGGGUCUGUGACCUCUGCGGCCUGGCAUCCAUAAAACGAUGACUUUAGAUUUUUCUCUAUCUUGUUCUAUAGCAGAGUGACUGACAUUGAAUGAGUCAAUACACUAGUACACUUAACUAGAGUUCCGCUUUGCAUUAUUGCAAUCUAUUUACUGUCCCUGAAACUUUGGAUUUCUGAUGGUGAUUGCAGCUUCUUUGGGUACAAAUUAAACUACUGUAUUAAAAGAAAAGCCUACCAUUUUGAUAAUUUGGGGACCUCCUGGCAGAGCAGGCUAAAGUGCCAUAACCUCGUAAACUGAAGAGGUGGGGUGAACCCAGAGAUGUGGGUUUUUCUUGCCUUAGGAGCUGGGUUUUGGGCAAAGGAAAUGUCGGCUGUCCUAAGUGGGAAGACUCAGUUGGAAAUGUCUUUAACUUAAUAUCCAGGGCUUGGAGUAGUGGUAGCAUAGUAGUAAUGAACCCAACCAGUAUCUAUGAGGACACGGGUUCAAUCCCUGGCCUCUCUCAGUGGGUUAAGGAUCCAGCGUGGCCAUGAACUAUGGUGUAGGUCGCAGAUGCUGCUUGGAUCCUGAGUUGCAUAGGCUGGCAGCUUUCUGAUUGGAUCCCUAGCCUGGCAACUGCCAUAUGCUCUGGGUGCGGCUCUAAAAAGAGGAAAAAAUAAUAGAAUGGCCUUGGAUUACUUCUUACUUCUUAGCUUUGCAGGGGAAGGGAGAGGCCAGGAUGCACUGUAACAAAAACCACUUGUUGUGUUCAUGUCACUGAGGAUGCCUGAGUAGAGGUGAACCUGUGGAGCAUAGCUGGUGUCUCCUCUCUGCCUUCCCCUCACAAAAGAGGGCUGUGAUGACUAAAUCUCUCUCUGGGGGAUGAGAACAAAAUUUCUCCAUU